GGGGAACUCUGGGCUCAGGCAGACAGAAUUCUGUAUCCCCGGACUGCGGCCCCGCCCUGGCUGGAUACCCGGUUUCAACAGGCGCUGGCGUCCCCACGGGCCCACACAGGGUCGAGCUGCGUGGCCGGCCACACCCAGCCCCAGGUCGCUCGCUCGCUCCCACUGAGGGCGGCAAAGGUCAAGAGAGCUUGCAGGAGACCACGCCCCACUCGGGCUCUGCUCUUCCCCUCCCUUCGCCGGCCCCACCCAUCGUCUGCUCCACGCGGCUCCCUCCUGCUGCCCAGACCUCAGCCCUCGAAGAGCUGUGCUGCUCCAGAUACUUGCCCCAGGGUGGCUGCCCAGGGAACUACUCGUGCAGUCCUGAGUGGACUGGAAAGCCUUUCGUCUUUGCUUGAACAGCAGUCGUGCUGGGAAUAAAGCAGUCCCCUGGCUUUGGCGCCUCCCACAGUACCGCACUGAAAAUCCUUGGGUGCUUGCUGGUAUGCCCAGUCCAGAGAGGCUCCAGUUGUAGAAGCUGCAGGGAUGCUUACAGGACCUGGAGCUCCAGACCUUCCCAGCCCUCUUCUUGUCCCAUAGAACUGAAGCUGGGGCCUGUGGCAGCUCACCUCCUGCUCUGCAAAGCUGACUACCCUAGUGAGGUCACUGAACUAAGGUGUUGAUGAUUGUUCCAUGGAGACGCAUCAUUGCACACGGUGCUUAGGCCCUCAGAGGAUCUAACGCAGCUCCCUUGGUAAAAGGUGAUGCUGGAAAUCUGGAGAGAUAGCUCAGUGGUUAACAACUCUGGCUGCCCUUGCAGAGGACCCAGGUUCAGAUCCCAGCACCUAUAUGGUGGUUCACAACUAUCUAUAACUUUAGUCCCAGGAGAUCCAAC
ensembl:lncRNA